rnacentral:lncRNA from 1 species
AUGGGGAAGGACGCCCUGGGCGUGGGGCCGGGUGGGAGGCGGGCUCCCAGGCCCCACGUCCACCUGCAGUGGGGCAGGGACGUGACCUUGCAACGAAAGCUCUCGGGCACUCCCUCCCAACUGCGUGGACGGGGCCCAGCGGCCGUUCAGGUGGGGACCCUGCAGGGAGACGGGCUGAGGAUAGGGGGGCUCAUGCGGGCAGUGAUCGGUGGCCAAGGAAAGGAGGGGCAGUGGGGGUGCCACGAGGGGCUGCUGGAACGGGGGGGGGAGCUGGUGGGGCACAGUCACCGCACUGGGGGAGGGGCGCUCACUUCAACUCGAUUCCCUGAAGCCUCUUCUUGGUUCAGGCGCCAUCCGAGCUCCGUCUCUUGGAGGCGCGGCUUGGUCCACUUACCACUGGGAUGUUUGUGUCCUCGAGCUUUACUGGGACCACUUACUGUUCCCAAUGCUGGUCCCCUGCCUGCGUCCGGAACACUGGUACCUUCCUCCUGUGUGAGUCGUUCCAGGCAAAGUUUGGUAACAUGUUCCCUGUCCGGUAAAACAGAAGGUCGUCAGUGCUGUCCACGUGCCCGGGUCGCCGCGAGGGUUGGUGAGGGGCCGAGACGAGGCCACCGACUCUGCAGACCAGAAGCCCCCCAUCAGUGUCGCCCUUACGGGAUGAGUCACGUCUUCUCGCACCUCCCUGCUAAACGAGUGGGGCUGAUGGCGGUCUCGUCAGCGACAUAAGGGGACGCGCUAGUAUUUCACAGAGAAGAGCAGGGUUUCCUGCGGGUUUCUGGAGAACUUCCUCUACCCGGAAGGCUCUCAGUUGCAGCCAGCAGAAGCCAGCCCUGGCUGACGCAAGCGGAAAGGGAAAUUCCGGAAGGAACUUGGAGGGUGCGUGGAAUUGCUGGAAAGGCCGGAGCACCGACCUUGAAAACACGCAGGAACCGGGCAGCUACGAGCCGCCCUGCUCGGCGGUGCGGGAAGGGAACGCCGCAAGAGGCGACACCCCUGUCCCACCGCCCUGGCGGGCCAGGAGGCUCCGAUCCCACGUUUCUCCAGACAAGGGCCUGGGAUUCAGGGGUGAGCAGCCGAGGAAAAUGAAGAAAGGUGUUCCACAUACUGCUCAUAAACCAAGGACUUUGCCCCUUUCUACCUACUAAGUUUGUUUUUGGGAGCGUGUGUGUUUUAAGUCACGUAUGCUUCACUGAGUUAUUCUUGCUUUUUAAAAAAUUGUUUUAAACGUUU